rnacentral:rRNA from 1 species
GAUGAACGCUGGCGGCGUGCCUAAUACAUGCAAGUCGAGCGAACAGACGAGGAGCUUGCUCCUCUGACGUUAGCGGCGGACGGGUGAGUAACACGUGGAUAACCUACCUAUAAGACUGGGAUAACUUCGGGAAACCGGAGCUAAUACCGGAUAAUAUAUUGAACCGCAUGGUUCAAUAGUGAAAGACGGUUUUGCUGUCACUUCUAGAUGGAUCCGCGCCGCAUUAGCUAGUUGGUACGGUAACGGCUUACCAAGGCGACGAUGCGUAGCCGACCUGAGAGGGUGAUCGGCCACACGGGAACUGAGCCACGGUCCAGACUCCUAAGGGAGGCAGCAGUAGGGAAUCUUCCGCAAUGGGCGAAAGCUUGACGGAGCAACGCCGCGUGAGUGAUGAAGGUCUUCGGAUCGUAAAACUCUGUUAUUAGGGAAGAACAAAUGUGUAAGUAACUAUGCACGUCUUGACGGUACCUAAUCAGAAAGCCACGGCUAACUACGUG